GACGAACGCUGGCGGCGUGCCUAACACAUGCAAGUCGAACGGGGUUAAGACUUCGGUUUUAACUUUGUGGCGAACGGGUGAGUAACGCGUGAGAAACCUGCCUUUCAGUGGGGGACAACAGUUGGAAACGACUGCUAAUACCGCAUAAUGUUAUUUGGGGGCAUCACUGAAUAACCAAAGAUUUAUUGCUGAAAGAUGGUCUCGCGUCUGAUUAGCUAGUUGGUGAGGUAACGGCUCACCAAGGCGACGAUCAGUAGCCGGUCUGAGAGGAUGAACGGCCACAUUGGGACUGAGAUACGGCCCAGACUCCUACGGGAGGCAGCAGUGGGGAAUAUUGGGCAAUGGGGGAAACCCUGACCCAGCAACGCCGCGUGAAGGAAGAAGGCCUUCGGGUUGUAAACUUCUUUUACCAGGGACGAACAAAUGACGGUACCUGGAGAAAAAGCAACGGCUAACUACGUGCCAGCAGCCGCAGUAAGAC
rnacentral:rRNA from 1 species